UACGUAGGUGACAAGCGUUAUCCGGAUUUAUUGGGCGUAAAGCGCACGCAGGCGGUCUAUCAAGUCUGACGUGAAAUCUCUCGGCUUAACCGGGAGCGGUCGUUGGAAACUGAUGGACUUGAGGCGAUGAGAGGGUGUGGAAUUCCCGGUGUAGUGGUGGAAUGCGUAGAGAUCCGGAAGAACACCGGAGGCGAAGGCGGCUUGCUGGCGUGAUCUGACGCUGAGGCGCGAAAGCGUGGGAGCGAACAGG
rnacentral:rRNA from 1 species